rnacentral:rRNA from 1 species
CUGGCCUACGGGGGGCAGCAGUGGGGAAUAUUGGACAAUGGGGGGAACCCUGAUCCAGCGACGCCGCGUGAGUGAAGAAGUAUUUCGGUAUGUAAAGCUCUAUCAGCAGGGAAGAAAGAAAUGACGGUACCUGACUAAGAAGCCCCGGCUAACUACGUGCCAGCAGCCGCGGUAAUACGUAGGGGGCAAGCGUUAUCCGGAUUUACUGGGUGUAAAGGGAGCGUAGACGGCGAAGAAAGUCUGAAGUGAAAGCCCGCGGCUCAACCGCGGAAUGGCUUUGGAAACUUUUUUGCUGGAGUACCGGG